CAGUCGCCGCGGUAAUACGUAGGUGGCAAGCGUUGUCCGGAAUUAUUGGGCGUAAAGGGCUCGCAGGCGGUUUCUUAAGUCUGAUGUGAAAGCCCCCGGCUCAACCGGGGAGGGUCAUUGGAAACUGGGAAACUUGAGUGCGGAAGAGGAGAGUGGAAUUCCACGUGUAGCGGUGAAAUGCGUAGAGAUGUGGAGGAACACCAGUGGCGAAGGCGACUCUCUGGUCUGUAACUGACGCUGAGGAGCGAAAGCGUGGGAGCGAGCAGGAUUAGAUACCCCUGUAGUCCCUGUCUCUUAUACA
rnacentral:rRNA from 1 species